rnacentral:rRNA from 1 species
AGAGUUUGAUCCUGGCUCAGAGCGAACGCUGGCGGCGUACCUAACACAUGCAAGUCGAACGGGGAUCACAGGGUUAGCAAUAACUCCGUGGUUCUAGUGGCGCACGGGUGAGUAACACGUGGGUAACCUGCCCUUGAGACUGGGAUACCCCCUCGAAAGGGGGGCUAAUACCGGAUACGUUCCUCGGAUCGAAAGGUCUGAGGAGGAAAGGUGGCGAAAGCUGCCGCUCUUGGAGGGGCUCGCGGCCUAUCAGCUAGUUGGCGGGGUAACGGCCCACCAAGGCUAUGACGGGUAGCUGGUCUGAGAGGACGACCAGCCACACGGGGACUGAGACACGGCCCCGACUCCUACGGGAGGCAGCAGUGGGGAAUUUUCCGCAAUGGGCGAAAGCCUGACGGAGUGACGCCGCGUGUGGGACGAAGGCCUUCGGGUCGUAAACCACUGUCAGUGGGAAAGAUGGGUGUCGGCGUGAUAACCGCCGGCAUUUGACGGUACCUGCAGAGGAAGCCCCGGCUAACUCCGUGCCAGCAGCCGCGGUA